rnacentral:tRNA from 1 species
GCUUGGAUAGGGCGCAUUCGUAAUGCGAAGGUCGUCGGUUCGACUCCGGCUUUGGGCA